rnacentral:rRNA from 1 species
UACGGAGAGUGCGAGCGUUGUUCGGAAUCACUGGGCGUAAAGGGCGUCUAGGCGGCUUGCCAAGUCAGAUGUGAAAUCCCUCGGCUCAACCGAGGACGUGCAUCUGAAACUGGCGAGCUUGAGUACUGGAGGGGGCAGUGGAAUUCCCGGUGUAGAGGUGAAAUUCGUAGAUAUCGGGAGGAACACCAGUGGCGAAGGCGGCUGCCUGGCCAGAUACUGACGCUGAAGCGCGAAAGCGUGGGGAGCAAACAGG